rnacentral:lncRNA from 10 species
CAGGAAAAGGGCUUGCUUGCGUGUGGUAACCACCUUCUUCAAGUUUCUCUGGAAGGAUUGUGGAGAGACCUUUUUCUGCUAGAGAAAGUGUGCAACAUGGUAAAGAGAACUGUAGGAAGAGAAAUGGCAGCCCUGCUUGAGCAGUGAGAAUAAUAAAAUGGUCAUCUGGAGAGCUCCAGAGACAGUUGGCAAGGUUCAAAUUCAAGCUUUACCAGGUUUGGUGUGGAGAUUACUGAUGAA